rnacentral:lncRNA from 1 species
GAGAGAAGUAAUACGACACGUAAAGAAACCUGGAUUGAAACAAAGAAAUGAAGAACACUAGAAAUGAAAUAAAUAAAGGUAUCCUGGCUUCCUCCCACACCCCAAAGCUGUGCACACGAGGUGAACUAGCGUACCCACAUGGACCUCAUCUGUGUGAGUGUGGGUGUGUUUGAGUGCACCCUCUGAUGGCAUAUCAUCCUGUCCAGGGUCGUUCUUCUAUUGCUCUGAACUGCCAGGAGUGGCUCUACCCACCUGUGACCCCAAACUCGUCUCAGCAGGUAAAUAAUUACCUUACUUGUUUUUAUUAAUCUGUCUUACAUGUAUGCAUCACUCACAUUUAUUUCAAAGUUUAAUAUUAGAAGAGUUUUUGUCUUCAUUUAGAAGUUUGGUGGUGGUGUUUUCAUGACCAGAAAUAUACUAUAGAAACUUAACUCUGGUUUAUAUUAAUUAGCUUAUGGUAAAAUUGAUUUCCUAUAGGUCAUUUCACUUAAAGUUACAGUUUUCAAGGAUCUAUUGAGGGUAUUAAGAGAUGACUUACUGUUUACUGCACAAACACAGUAAUUGCUAAAAUUUAAUAAGACUAAUAAAACCAAGUGUGGGGACGUUAUGCAGAGAAACUGAAAGCAUUGUACUAUACAGGUGGGCAUGUAAAAUGGUUAUACUUUGGAAUACUAUUUAUCUUUCCACAUAAAUUUAAUC